AGAAGGGGUAGCAGAGGCAGCUAAUUUGGGGAUUUGCUUGUCUUUGAAUGGGGGUAAUUACUGGGAGUUGCCAAUUGUUCCAGAUUGUUCCCUGGAAGAAGGGGAGGGGGGGCACUCUCCUGGGCUCUGCUGAGCGCUGCCCCCUGCAGGCAGUGUGGUGAGGUCACAGAGGGGUGGUCCGGGCUGGGGAGCCACAGGACAGAGUCAGGGGAGCCCAGGAUCCCAGCAGGUGGGGCUGGGCCGAUAGGGCCCUCCGAGGUCACGUCACCCGCUCAUUUUACAGCCGGAAAAACCGAGGCAGGAGGGAAGGGACUUGCCCAGGGGUGCGCCGCGUGGGCCCAGCCAGGCUGCUCGGCCCCAGGGAACAGCCUCCAUGUUGGCCAUGCUCCCCCGCCCCUCCCCCAUCCCCGGGUCUGUCUGGAACUCCCCAGCCUGGGGGCUGUGCGCGUCAGGAACCCCCUGUCCUUUCUCUGACUGCAGGAGACCAGCGCAGUGGUGGGGUCACUGAGGCCAGCAGCCUCCUGGGGGGCUCACCGCGGCGUCCGUGUGGCCGGAAGGGCUCCCCAUAUCACACGGGGCAGCUGCACCCCGCAGUGCGCGUGGCCGACCUCCUGCAGCACAUCAACCAGAUGAAGACGGCCGAGGGCUAUGGCUUCAAGCAGGAGUACGAGGUGCAGGGCCCCAGGCCAGCCGGGCCCCCUCGCCAGGGCCUCGCCUGGCUCCCCCUCACUGUGGACCCUGACCCUGGUCUGACCUCAAAUCCACUCUCAUGAUCGACCUACUUCCUUUUGGCCUUCACCCUGAACCCUCAACCCACCCCCCAAAACUGACCCGGCCUCUGGCUCUCAUGCUCGGACUUGGAUCCCAAACCAGUCUCCAUGAGAAUGUCGACCAUGACCCCUAAUUAGACGAAUCUAAAGUGACCCUGACUUUACCCUCUGGAUUUUGACCCAGAACCUCAUCCUAAUACUUCCCUGGUUUUGACUCUAAUCCUAAACCUGACCCUUAUCUGAUCCUUUCUCUGAACUUGACCUGCUUCCUAACCCCAUCACUCCCCUCUCCUGCUCUCUGCCUUCGUUUUGAACGCUGGUUCCUUGCUGAUUAAAGGUAAAUGCAGUCAUUCAUGCCAAGCCUCAGCGUUGGCCCUGACCUAGCCUUCACUGUGACUCAGCCCUCCAGCUUGCCUACUUUAUCCCAGAUGAGGGGCUAACCAUCUUUUUCCUUCUUUAUAAGGCUUCUUUGAAGGCUGGGAUGCCAUGAGGAAGAAACUGUCUCAGAGACCCAUGCCUGAGAGUCCUGAGGGAUGGCCUGAAGCCUAGGGGAGCAGGCAGGAGGCAGUCAGAAGGGGGCUCGGCAAGGGUCUCCAGGGUUCUAGCUCAGCCCAGCCAUGAAGAGCCAUCAGACCAGAUGACCUCUAGCAUCCCUGAGGAAACUGAUUCCAGAAGGAAAGGCAGAAGGCUCUGGAAACAGGGAGCUGGGUAGCCUGGGCUUCUGUAGUCUCUCUCAGUGUAAGCUUUGCCAAGGCCUGUCUUUCUGGACCUUGAUUUCUCCAUCCAUAAGGCAAAGCUAAUAACGCCAAUGGGGCACCCUUCAUGAGGCUGUUAAGAGACCAUUGGCCUCAUUCAUCCCCCAAGUCCCAGGAGAUGCUGAACUCGGUCAUGCCAGCACUGGAUGUGGAAAAAGCAGCAUGGCCCUCUUCCCCAGAACCUCAACAAGGACCCAGCAUCAAUAUCCUGCCACCUGACCGCCGCCAGCCCUCCCUUAGCUCCACUGAUGGGGAACCCCCACAUCUACCUCAACAUGGCCCUGGUGGAUGGGAGGGCUGCAGUCUCUCCGGUGGCCAGAGGACACAGGCUAUUCCAAUGGCUUCACAGUCCAACGUCAUUUCAUCUGAAUUACGAACUCAUGGAACAGCACUACCCCCCGACUCAUGCUGUUGAUGCAUCGCUUGGAUCCUGGCCUGGCCUUCUGGGCCAGGCCCGGGGCUUUCUGGGAGAAUGUCUACUGAAGCGGCAGCUGCCUCCUGGGAGCUUUCGGUCCAUCAGGGAGCCAGAGAACCACAGCACCACUCACAGUCCCUCCACCGACAGUUUUGCAGAUGACAGACUCUUGGAAGGAAAGCGUGUUGGACCAAAGGUAGGAGAGAAAAUCUCCACGGGCCAGACCUGCAGACUGAGACUCACACGAUGGGAUUUCAUAUGCCCUAGUGAAUUAAACAUGCAGUGCAAAAUAAAUCAGCAGCUCGGGAACAGAGGAGGGAGACAGGCCUUGAGACGGGACUGACAGAGAGCUCAGUGUGAGCCCAUGAAGUGACAUACCUCUCGUGUCACCUGCCCCAUCCAGCCCCGUCCCAACCAAGGCCCGGCCUGCAAGAUGGAGGGAGGGCCCCCAAACCUGCUCAGUUUAGUAAUAACAAGAACAAUAGUGAUAGUCUCUGCUCCAAAGGUUUACUCUGUAUUAUGUACUCACGUUAGCUCUCUGUCCUCACAAGUUCACAUGGUUGGUAUUAUUAGUACCAUUUUACACAAAAGAAAACCGAAGCUCAGGAAAGCUAAGUAAUAAAGAGCUGGUAAGUGGCA